GCCUCGGUGGUGUAGUUGUGGCACGCGCCCUCCACAUGGGUGAAACGCGGGUUCAACUCCUGCCUGAGGUC